rnacentral:rRNA from 1 species
GACGAACGCUGGCGGCGUGCCUAAUACAUGCAAGUAGAACGCUGAAGAGAGGAGCUUGCUCUUCUUGGAUGAGUUGCGAACGGGUGAGUAACGCGUAGGUAACCUGCCUUGUAGCGGGGGAUAACUAUUGGAAACGAUAGCUAAUACCGCAUAACAAUGGAUGACACAUGUCAUUUAUUUGAAAGGGGCAAUUGCUCCACUACAAGAUGGACCUGCGUUGUAUUAGCUAGUAGGUGAGGUAAUGGCUCACCUAGGCGACGAUACAUAGCCGACCUGCGAGGGGGAUCGGCCCCACUGGGACUGAGACACGGGCCAGGCUCCUAAGGGAGGCAGCAGUAGGGGAUCUUCGGCAAGGGGGGCAACCCUGACCGAGCAACGCCGCGUGAGUGAAGAAGGUUGUCGGAUCGGAAAGCUCUGUUGUAAGUCAAGAACGGGUGUGAGAGUGGAAAGUUCACACUGUGACGGUAGCUUACCAGAAAGGGACGGCUAACUACGUG